rnacentral:misc_RNA from 1 species
GGCCGCCAGCAACCCUGGCAGUCUAGGCCCUAUAGACAUUGAUCAUGAUGUGAAAUACAAAAACUGUUGGCAGCAUGUCAUCAUUGGAGUAAUUAUAACUUUCAUUUCUUCACAGUGAGAAGCAAAAUUUUACACUUUAAAUAGAUGUCACAAAAUAUAUUUAUAACUUUCAUAUAUUGUUUUUUAUGGUACAGUAAAAGCAGAAAUAUUUGUUUAUGAUUAAACUUCAUGUACACAUGUAUUAUUUUUUAAAACAUUCAUUAAUGAAAUCCCAUGCAAAAUAUUUAUUUGGUUCUUCAUUUUGUGACAAUGAAAUUAUAUAGAUCUCAAAGACACCAAUCUAUAUCAAAGAUCAACAAAAAUUUACACCGAUAAAUAUUUCUGCUUCUAUUUUUAUGCACUUUUCAUAGGUGUGUCUACUUAUUUUAGUUAAGCUUUUUUUUAACACUGCAUUAAGAUCAAUCAUAAUUUAUACUCAUUAGUUUGACCCCAAGUAAACGAUGUCAUUUAAAGUGAUCAUUUUACUUGUCACAAAACAGCUCUCACCUCUUACUGCUAGUUUUAAUCUUUUAUUUUAGUUGAUUAGAGUAUCAGCAACCUAGAAUACAUUGGGUGUUUUGGUUUUGGUUUUUUUUUACAAUUAAAACAUCAGACCUGAGAGUGGCACUGGAUAUAAUAGUCUUUUCAUAGAUUUUAACGGAAGUAUAAUGCCACAUAAACUGAUAUGUACACAUUUCUUGUAUAUUUGAUGUUAAUGUCUUCAGCAGAAAUUCAGAUUAAUUCGUAUGAAAAUUAAACAUUACUCAUUUGUGUCUUGUCUUUGAAUCAUUUUAUAAGCAUUUGAAUAAAAAAUCAUUUAUGU